rnacentral:rRNA from 1 species
CCAAUAGCGUAUAUUAAAGUUGUUGCAGUUAAAAAGCUCGUAGUUGAAUUUCGGGGUUUAUCCGUUGGCCGGGCUUUUUGGUCUGUACUGGCGUGAUGGAUUCCUACCUUCUGAAUAACCAGCAUGUCAUUAAUUUGGUUCGUUGGGGAAGCAGGACUGUUACCUUGAAAAAAUUAGAGUGCUUAAAGCAGGCUAUUGCCUGAAUACAUUAGCAUGGAAUAAUGAAAUAGGACGCAUGGUUCUAUUUUGUUGGUUUCUAGGAUCACCGUAAUGAUUAAUAGGGAUAGUUGGGGGCAUUAGUAUUCAAUUGUCAGAGGUGAAAUUCUUGGAUUUAUUGAAGACUAACUUCUGCGAAAGCAUUUGCCAAGGAUGUUUUCAUUAAUCAAGAACGAAAGUUAGGGGAUCGAAGACGAUCAGAUACCGUCGUAGUCUUAACCAUAAACUAUGCCGACUAGGGAUCGGACGAUGUUAAUUUUUUAAUGACUCGUUCGGCGCCUUACG